GCCGAAGUAGCUCAGUCGGUUAGAGCACGCGCUUCAUAAGCGUGAGGUCGUCGGUUCAAGUCCGACCUUCGGCACCA
rnacentral:tRNA from 1 species